rnacentral:sRNA from 1 species
GCCAGGCAUGGUGGCGUGUGCCUGUAAUUCCAGCUACUCAGGAAGCUGAGACAGGAGAAUCGCUUGAACCCGGGAGGUGCGGGUUGCAGUGAACUGAGAUCACGCCACUGCAGUGCAGCCUGGGUAACAGAGCGAGACCCCGUCUCAA